rnacentral:rRNA from 1 species
UACGUAGGGGGCAAGCGUUGUUCGGAAUUACUGGGCGUAAAGGGCGCGUAGGCGGCACAGCAAGUCGGGAGUGAAAGCCCGGGGCUCAACCCCGGAAUGGCUUUCGAAACUGCUGAGCUAGAGUACAGAAGGGGCAACCGGAAAUUCCCAGUGUAGCGGUGAAAUGCGUAGAUAUUGGGAAGAACACCUGAGGCGAAGGCGGGUUGCUGGGCUGAUACUGACGCUGAUGCGCGAAAGCGUGGGGAGCGAUCCGG